UACGUAGGCAGCGAGCGUUGUUCGGAAUUACUGGGCGUAAAGCGUGCGUAGGUGGUUUGUUAAGUCCGAUGUGAAAGCCCUGGGCUCAACCUGGGAAUGGCAUUGGAUACUGGCAGGCUAGAGUGCGGUAGAGGGCAGUGGAAUUCCCGGUGUAGCAGUGAAAUGCGUAGAUAUCAGGAGGAAUACCGGUGGUGUAGACGGCUCUCUGGACCGCCACUGACGCUGAGACACGAAAGCGUGGGUAGCAAACAGG
rnacentral:rRNA from 1 species